rnacentral:rRNA from 1 species
CCGCCGGCGACCGGCGCACGGGUGAGUAACACGUAUGCAACCUGGCCGUGACAGAUGGAUAACCGGGAGAAAUCCCGCCUAAUACAACAUAAUGCCGGGAGGGGACAUCCCCUGCCGGCCAAAGGGGCGACCCCGGUCACGGAUGGGCAUGCGGCGCAUUAGGUAGUUGGCGGGGCAACGGCCCACCAAGCCGACGAUGCGUAGGGGUUCUGAGAGGAAGGUCCCCCACAUUGGAACUGAGACACGGUCCAAACUCCUACGGGAGGCAGCAG